rnacentral:rRNA from 1 species
UACGUAGGUGGCAAGCGUUGUCCGGAAUUAUUGGGCGUAAAGAGCGUGUAGGCGGCUUUACAGGUCCGUUGUGAAAACUCGAGGCUCAACCUCGAGACGCCGGUGGAAACCGUAAAGCUAGAGUCCGGAAGAGGAGAGUGGAAUUCCUGGUGUAGCGGUGAAAUGCGCAGAUAUCAGGAGGAACACCAAUGGCGAAGGCAGCUUGCUGGGACGGUACUGACGCUGAGGCGCGAAAGCGUGGGGAGCAAACAGG